rnacentral:rRNA from 1 species
AGGGUUUGAUUAUGGCUCAGGAUGAACGCUGGCGGCGUGCCUAACACAUGCAAGUCGAACGAAGCACUGAGACUUCGGUUUUUGUGCUUAGUGGCGGACGGGUGAGUAACGCGUGAGCAAUCUGCCUUUCAGAGGGGGAUAACGAUUGGAAACGAUCGCUAAUACCGCAUAACGUAUUCGGAUGGCAUCAUCUGAAUACCAAAGGAGCAAUCCGCUGAAAGAUGAGCUCGCGUCUGAUUAGAUAGUUGGUGAGGUAACGGCCCACCAAGUCGACGAUCAGUAGCCGGACUGAGAGGUUGAACGGCCACAUUGGGACUGAGACACGGCCCAG